ensembl:snRNA U6 U6 spliceosomal RNA
AUACUAAAAUCUAUAUUAAAAUUGGAAUGACCUAAAGAUUUGCAUUGCUCCUGUGCAAGGUUGGUACACAAAUUUGUGGAAUAGUCCAUCUUUUU